GCCAAACGUGGCGGAGACGACAGGGAUGGCAGGUGGAGCCGUGCUCGCUGGCGAACACCAAGGAGGAGCUGUGCGCCGGCGGAUGUGGAGGAGGAGCCAUGCGCGCCGCACGGAAUCGAGGACUCCUCGCCACGUCGCCAUAGCCCCCUGCCUUGGCAGUUGGCAGUUGGCAGCGUCUGCCGCCUCCACCGUCCUCAACGCGGCCCACCGUUGUGAGUUCGGGUUGAAUCUAAGCUUCCUGCAAUUCUGCAUGCUCUUGCACAAAUCCUACGAAUUCCAGAAUCUCGUUGCUCAAAUCCAAGGCUUAAGGGAGAAAUUUGAUUAAACCUGUUGUUCCAUGAGAAUUUUCAGAUUAUACCACCUAGUACGCACUGCUUUCAGGAUUUAUCACCCAAUUUACACUACUUUUAGAAUAUACCAAUGGAGUGUGAAUUUUCUUCGUUCCGGGCCACUCCAUCCCCUAGCGUCAGUCACACCAUCAUCCUCCGUCCUCCCGGCGCCACCGUCAUCAGUCCGCCACCGCUCGCGCUUGCGUUAACCGCGCCGUCGCCCGUCCGUCGCGUCAGCCUCGCCAUUGCCCGUCCAUCGCCGCCCGCGUCAGCCGCGCCGUCGCUGGUUCGUCGCCGUCAUUGGCGUACGUGGUGGUGGGCCGGAGGAGAAGGGAGCAGCGGUGGAGGGCAGAGGCCAGAGGGCGUCGAGCUCCGGUGGCAAAGCUCUAUACGAGCUCGAGGCUGCGGUGGCGGAGAUUGGACCGGCGAUGGCUCGGGGCGUGGUGGCAGCAGCCCGGUGCGGCAGCGGUUGAGCUUGGGGACGAUACGAGCGAGCUCGCCAGAGGUCACCCUCGUGCUGCUACUUCGUGCCGUCCGCGCGCAUAUAUGGCGCCGUCCGCAUGGAGGAGGAGGAGCUUUGCUGGUGUGGGGAGGACGAGCUCGCCGACAGCCAAACAGCGCGCGCGUGGGGGAGGAGGAGCUCGCCGGUGUGAGAGAGGACGAGCUCGCCGGCGGCCAGAUGCGUGUGGGCAACGGCGCGAGUGGGAUGAACUGACGAUGUGUAGCUUUGGUUAGACAGAGUGGCCCGGAAUGAAGAAAAUUCACACUCCAGUAGUGUAUUCUGAAAGUAGUGUGAAUUGGGUGAUAAAUCCGGAAAACAGUGCGUAUUGGGUGGUAUAUCCUGAAAAUUCUAAAAUUCUAGUUGUUCCAUAUAAUCACAAUUCUGUUUAUUCCUGGUACAGAGGCGAGAAAUCUCACCGGAGAAGCAGACAAGCUACCAAUGCCAGUGCUCGUUUCUUGAGGUAUAUAAUGAGUAGAUUAAUGACCUGUUGGAUCCAUCUCAGCGUAACUUUAGAUAAGAGAGAAUGCUUGCAAUGGUGUCCAUGUUGAGAACUUGACCGAUGAGUAUGAGUCAACGGUUGAGGACGUCAAUCAGAUCUUGAUGAAGGGCCUUCCAAACAGAAAAGUUGGCACCACCAGUAUGAACUUGAAAAGUUCACGUUCUCAUAUAAUAUUCACUUGUGUCAUUGAAGCAUGGAGCAAGGGUUGCUCAUCAAAUGGCUUCAGCAGCUCACAGACUAGCAGAAUUACCUUUGUUGAUCUUGUUGGUCCUGAUAAUGAUGAACUUGAUGGUGGCAGCAAGCACUGUACAAGAGAAUAAAGAUAAGCAGUCAAAAUCUUGGGUA